rnacentral:rRNA from 1 species
CCUACGGAGGGCAGCAGUGGGGAAUAUUGGACAAUGGGGGCAACCCUGAUCCAGCCAUGCCGCGUGUGUGAAGAAGGCCCUCGGGUUGUAAAGCACUUUCAGUGAGGAAGAACGCCUGGUGGUUAAUACCCAUCAGGAAAGACAUCACUCACAGAAGAAGCACCGGCUAACUCCGUGCCAGCAGCCGCGGUAAUACGGAGGGUGCGAGCGUUAAUCGGAAUUACUGGGCGUAAAGCGCGCGUAGGUGGCUUGAUAAGCCGGUUGUGAAAGCCCCGGGCUCAACCUGGGAACGGCAUCCGGAACUGUCAAGCUAGAGUGCAGGAGAGGAAGGUAGAAUUCCCGGCGUAGCGGUGAAAUGCGUAGAGAUCGGGAGGAAUACCAGUGGCGAAGGCGGCCUUCUGGACUGACACUGACACUGAGGUGCGAAAGCGUGGGUAGCAAACAGGAUUAGAUACCCUAGUAGUC